rnacentral:lncRNA from 1 species
AGAAUUAUUACUGAAACACAAGAGUACAUCCUACACAAGAGAGCGUGUGUGUGUGUGUGUGUGUGUGUGUGUGGCUGCUGUCAAGCACAGGACACCGAAGCCUUAAAGCAUUGAUGACAUCAUCAGGUUCGAUGAGUUAUGUUAUAUUUUUACAUGUUAAAGAUGGUGAACAAUGAAUGCCGCAGUUUUCCUACAUUACCCACGAUUCCUUUGGCUUUUGGCCUUAUAAUGAUGUCAUCAUUGGGUGCCCAGAUGACAGGUCCAGGAUCGGAGCACACAUUUGGCUCCUGGGAGCCUUUUUUUUUUUUUUUUUUUUUUUUAUGUGGAGGUUUCAAAUCUGGAAAAUUGUGAAGAAGUUGGACGAAAACCGUGGGAAUAUUUGCGUAAACAAGAGCAGCAACAAGCGUCGACAGCUCCAGUUGGCGACCGCGCUGGCUCAAUCAGGGCGGGAAGUUUGGAACGCUGCAGGUGUCUUCCACCAAUCAGCGUUCUCCCACACAUGGCUCCGCCCCUCAACAUUUCCAGGAAGUCUGUAAAGUCCUACCCGAUGCCUGGAUCGGAUUCGGCUGGAUUUCCUGCUGAAUCGGAGCGGUUGGAGUCAACAUCACUUGAUAUUUAAGUGGGCGAAGGAAGCAGAAAGAAUCAUUUUGAAUAGAGGAUUUGACACAUUUGCCUGGAGCGUUUCAGUAGCUGCUACUCAACUAAAUGAGGAAAAGGGGUGUGUGUGUGGGGGGGGGGGGGGGGGGGGGGGGACUGGAAAUCCAACCAGCAAUUUGCAGCAUUUCCCAAGCAGACACAUAAAUAUUGGUGUCACCU